CAGGUGAUCCACCCACCUCAGCCUCCCAAAGUGCUGGGAUUACAGGCAUGAGCCACUGCACCCAGCCAGCUACACUAUUCUUAAUAUUCAAAGUAGCACUGUCAAGUUAUCACCAAGAUUUCAUCACAAUUUUUAUUAUUUUUCUAUAUUUACCCUCUAUUUUAACUAUGUAAAUUUAUCAAAUGUUUUAAUAUUUGAGAGGGCAAAUCUACUAUCACCGUUAUUUAAUGUUUUGUAUUUUUUCUUAAUUAUUAUAUUUUUUAAAUUGACGUGAUAAUUGUACAUAUUUAUGGGGUAUGUAGUGAUAUUUCGAUACAUACAAUGAAUAGUUAACAGAUUCGUGUAAUUCACAUAUCCAUCAUGUCAAAAUUUAUUAUUUCUUUGUGAUGGGAACAUUCAGUUUACCCCUUCUAGCAAUUUGAAACUAUAUAUUAUUGUCAACUACGGUCAUCCCACAAUGCUAUAGAACACUAGAACUUAUUUGUCUCUAGCUUUAAUUUUGUAUCCCUUGACAAAUCUUUCUUUAUCCUUCUCUCAUCCCACCCUUCCCUGUCUCUAGUAUAUUCCAUUCUACUUUUUCCUCCUCUGAGAUCAACUUUUUUUUAGUUUCCACAUAUGAGUGAGAACAUGCAGUGUUUAACUUUCUGUUCUUACCUUAUUUUACGUAACAUAAUGUCCUCUUGAUUUGUCGAGGCUGCUUCUUAUAGUUUCUAUUAGAAAUAUGUGUGUGUGCGCCUGUGUGUGUAUAAUGUAGGAUAUUUUAGGUAACUAAAUAGUUGUAAAUAAGGCUGAACUGUAUUUUUAAGGUUUUAUUUGUGACUAAUAAUUUGUCUUAUUAAUAAAGCCUAGGUUAAAAAAAUAAGUGGAAGACAUAUCUGUCACACACUAUAUCUUGGGAGUUUUGAAAAAUAAAGUGUUGAUUUCAGGCAAAAUACUUAGUUCAACUGUAACUAAAUCAGCAAAGAUGUCAUGAUUCCAUAAGGGAUCCACUCUAAAUAUAAUGUUAAAUGGAAUAUUUCAUUAUAUUUUAGAAGUAGGGACUACUAGUUUGACAUUUAUGUUUUUGAGUAUAUGUGGUUGCAUUCUUAUAUCUAAUAAAAUAUUCAGUUGUCUUAAACUUAACAUUCUUAAGGCCUAGGGCAAGAAUAAUAAUCAAAACCUAUAUAGUGUAUGUUUGCAUAUUUAAAAGUUAUAAAUCAAGUUAACAAACUGUUAAAUAAAGUAUGCUGUGUUCUCUCACUUUGACACAUAUACCUUCUCAAUGAAAUUCAGGUUUGGAACUAGAAUUCUUGGGCCGUCAACAUCCAGCAUAGAAUAUGACGACAUAGAGAGAGCCGGUGCCCUGACCUGGUCUCAUACCAUGAGAGGCCUUCUGUGUAUACGUUUUGGGUACCUCUGUUGAUAUGUUGAAACUCAGUCUACCACUGUAGCUCUAGCAAAAAGCUUCCCAUUGGCCCACAGGGCCUCUAGUUGUGCACUCUGUAUACGUGGUUCACCAUGAAAGACAGAACUGGUGGAGAGGAACAUGGACGCUGGAAGCAGUCUCAAAACCCUUUGAAGACAGAAUUCUAAGUCUUUAUGUUCUACAGCAUGAUCUAAAAGGUGGUAGGUGGGGGUGAGCAGCAUCACCUCCAACUAACCUCAUCCCCUUGGACCAGGUAAACUCCUUGUACUUUGGGGAGGAAUGUGGCCAGAGAGAGGACCAUAGUGGAGCCCUUGAAAGCACAGGCUCCAGGGCAAAGUGUUCUUUUGCUCAAUUAUAUGGGCAUUCUUCUUAUGGGUGUAGUUAUUUGCUUAUUGCUAUGUAAUGAUUUGGAUUUAAUAAUGCUAUAUUGAAAGUGCAAUGGCCUACAGAACUGAGGGAUCACGUUUUAGCUUAAAUUCAAUAGAAAAAAAUGACUCUUUUAUAAAAAAAAGUAUUUAAAUUUGUAAGUUGUCAUCCCUAUCCACUAAGGGAUAUUAAAUGUAUUAAAUACUGGGAAAUAUAUAUGCACAUAUAUAUUUAUAUAUGUAUGUAUGUGUGUGUGUGUGUGUGUGUGUGUGUGUAUAAUAGUGAUCAGAGAAAAAGACAAAUGAAGACAAACAGCAAUAAGGAUAAAAAUAGUCCAAUCAUAUGAACUCCCAGAUGCCAUUUUGGAGGAAAAUAAAAAUUUCCAUAGAAAUCAAUAGAUAAGGAACAGAUAUUUAAGAAAAUGUGCUUGGAACAAGUGCACAUAAAAUAACUAAAAUUUAGCAUAAUGGUCAUGAAGGAAAAAAAUGUUAUGCAUGAAAACAAGACAUUAUGGAAUAUGAGAAAAUUAGAUGCUGAAGAAAAUAAUUGAUUGGACUAAAAUUAUUCCAUUAGGCACUCUGAUUAAUACUCAUUAUUUAGUGGGGAGAAAUAUAGAGGUUGUUAUUAGAAGACCCAAUAGGCCCACUAUAACCUUUAUAUAACAUUAUAUAUAUUUAUAUUGAUCAAUUUUACAGCUUCCAGUUUAAAUAAAGGUUCAUUCAGUCUCAGUAGAUGCAUUUUCUAUAUAUUAUAGGUAUCUUUAUAUAAUUACAUAUAUGUGUAUAUAAUAUUGAAUAUUGACAGAUUAUAAUCACUUACAUUUAUGGCGUAUAGAGUUAUGCUUUAAUGUAUGCAUCCAAUUUGAUAUGACUAAAUCAAGUUCAUACCCAUCGCCUCUAAUAAUUACCAUUUAUUUCUCCUGUCUCACAGAAACUUUGCACUCUUUCAACAAUAUCUCUUCAUUCCUCUCACUCCUAAAUCUCUGGUAACUAUUCUGUUCUCUACUUCUAGAAUUCAACUAUUAUAAAGUCCACAUAAAAGUGAGAACAUAUGGUAUUUGUCUUUCUGUGCCUGGCUUAUUUCACUUAGCAUAAUGUCUUUGUAUUAGUCCUUUUACACACUGCUGUAAAGAACUACCUGAGACUGGGUAAUUUGUAAAGAAAAGAGGUUUAAUUGACACACAGUUCCUGAGGCUGGAGAGGCCUCAGGAAAUGUACAAUCAUGGCAAAAGACAAAGGGGAAGCAAGACACAUCUUACAUGGUGGCAGGAGAGAAAGAGUGUGAAGGGGGAAGUGCCACCAGAUCUUAUGAGAACUCACUCACUAUCACAAGAACAGAAAAGGGGAAGUGUGCCCCCAUGAUUCAAUUACCUCCCACCAGGCCCCUCCCCCAACAUGUUAGAAUUACAAUUUGAGAUAAGAUUUGGGCAGGGAUGCAGAGCCAAACCAUAUUGUUCUGCCCCUGGCCCCUUUAAAAUAUCAUGUUCUUUUCACUUUUCAAAGCCAAUCGUGCCUUCCCAAGAGUUCCCCAAAGUCUUAACUCAUUCCAGCAUUAAACCAAAAGUCCAGUCCAAAGUCUUUCUGAGACAAACAAGUCCAUUCCACCUAUGAGCCUGUAAAAUCAAAAACAGAUUAGUUACAAUGGGGUUACAGGCAUUGGGUAAAUACUCCUGUUCCAAAAGGGAGAAAUUGGUCAAAACAAAGGGGCUAUGGGCCCCAUCCAAAUCCAAAACCCAGCAGGACAGUCAUUAAGUCUCGAAGCUCUGAAAUAAUCUCCUUUGACUCCAUGUCUCACAUCCAGGGAAUGCUGAUGCAACAAGUGGGCUCUCAAGGCCUUAGGCAAUUCUACUCUUGUGUGUCUGCAAGAUACAGCCCCUUUGAUUGCUUUCGUGGAUUGGCAUUGAGUGCCGACAGCUUUUCCAGGCAGCCAGGGCGAGCUAUCGGUGAAUUUAUCUUUCUGGGUUCUAUAGGACUGUGGCCCUCUUCUCACAGCUCCACUAGGCAGUGCCCCAGUAGGAACUCUGUGUGAGGGCUCCAGCCCCACAUUUCUCCGGUGCACUGCCCUCAUAGAGGUUUCCAUGACAGCUCCAUUCCUGCAGCACACUUCUGCCUGGAUAUCCAGGCACUUCCCUAUAUUAUCUGAAAUCUAGGUGGAGGUUCCUAAACCUCAAUUCUUGUGCACACCUGCAGGCCCAGCAGUAUGUGGAAGCUGCCAAGGCUUGGGGCUUGCACCCUCUGAAGCAGUGGCCUGAGCCAUGGCUGGAGCUGGAGCUGCUGGGACACGGGUCUUCACGUCCCAAGGCUGCACAGAGGACCGAGGACCUGGGCCCAACCCAAGAAACAAUUUUUCCCUUCUAGGCCUUUAGGACUGUGAUGGGAGGUGCUGCCGUGAAGAUCUCUGAAAUGCCCUGGAGACUUUUUCUUCACUUUCUUGGAGAUUAACAUCAGGAUCCUCUUGAUUUAUGCAAAUUUAUGCAGCCAGCCUGAAUUUCUCCCCAGAAAAUGGUUUUUAUUUUUUUAACCACAUGGUCAAGUUGCAAAUUUUCCAAACUUUUAAUGUCUUCUUUCCUUUUAAACAUAAAUUCCAAUUUCAAACCAUCUCUUUGUGAAUGCAUGUGACUGUACACUUUUAGAAACUGCCAGGUCAGGGCGUGGUGGUGCAUGCCUGUAAUUUUCCCAGCUACUUGAGAGGCUGAGGCAGGAGAAUCGCUUGAACCUGGGAGGUAGAGGUUGCAGUGAGCCAAAAUCACACCACUGCACUCCAGUCUGGGUGACACAGUGAGACUCCAUCUCAAAAAAAAAAAAAAAAAAAAAAGGAAAAGAAAAAGAAACCACUCGGUCAAAUCUUGAAUGCCUUUCUGCUUACAAAUUUCUCCUGCCAGAUGCCCUAACUUAUCUCUCUCAAGUUCAAAGUUUAACAGAUCUCUAGGAGAGGGACAAAAUGUCACCAGUCUCUUUGCUAAAGCAUAGAAAGAGUGACCUUUACUACAGUUCACAAUAAGUUCCUCAUCUCUAUCUGAGACUACCUCAGCCGGGACUUUAUUGUCCAUAUCACUAUCAACAUAUUGAUCAAAACUAUUCAACAAGUCUCUAGGAAGUUCCAAACUUUCCCAUAUCUUCCCGUCUUCUUCUGAGCCCUCCAAACUCUCCCAACCUCUGCCUGUUACCCAGUUCCAAAGUCACUUCCACAUUUUCAGGUAUCUUUGUAGCAGUGCCACACUUUCCUGGUACCAGUUUUCUGUAUUAGUCCAUUUUCACAUUGCUAUGAAGAACUACCUGAGAGUGGGUAACUUAUAAAAAAAAGAAGUUUUAAUUGACUCAUAGUUCAUGGCUGGAGAGGACUCAGGAAGGUUACAAUCAUGGCGGAAGGCAAAGAGAAAGCAAGGUACAUAGUGACAGGAGAGAGCACAAAACGAGAAGUGCCACACAUAUUCAAAUAAUCAGUUCCUUCUCAUGUCACUUCGUUCUAAUCCUCUGUCAUUUAAUUGCUCUCUGAAACAGCAGAGAGAGGUUGUUUACUUUUAAGGAUUCAUGUGAUUAAAUUAGGCUCACCUGGAUAAUCCAGGCUAAUCUCUCUAGCUCAAACUCCUAACUUUAAUCACAUUUGCAAAGUCAUUGUUCCCAUGCAAAGUAAUAGAUUCACAGGUUCUGAGGAUUAAAAUAUGAAUAUCUUGGAGGGGGGCAUUAUUCUGCCUAUGCAGAAUUUUAAUUAUACUUUCCCCAUUUUCCUUCUUUCUUGACUGAUUUUUGUCACGAUUUGGAAAAUUAUAAAUUUCCCAAGAAAUGCCAGGAAGGAAUUUCCAUAUGGAAACAUGGCAAUACAGCCUGGAAAACACUAUGGACAGUUGCAUGGACCUCACAGUAAGGAAAUCUAACAUAGGCUUCAGGCUGGGGAAAGCUUUAUAGACAAUGGAUGUCAUAAAUAGGUUUUUGAAGAAUGUGUAGUAGUUAUCUUUGUGAAAGUUAAGGGAAGAGAGGAUUGGAGUCAUUAAUUCACAGGACUGUGAUUAAACUGAGACAUACAAAUUUCAUUUUUAGGGGGAAGUUAAAAAUAGUUUAGUAUGAGUUCAAAUGUAGGAGGAGAGGGAUAUAAAAUUUGAGAGUUAAGCAUUGGACCUGUGUAAGUCUAUUCUCAUGCUGUUAAUAAAGACAUAUCUGAGACUGGGUAACUUAUAAAGGAAAGAGGUUUAAUUGACUCACAGUUCAGGAUGGCUAGGGAGGCCUCAGGAAAGUUAGAAUCAUGGCAGAAGGGGAAGCAACCAUGCCCUUCUUCACAUGGUGGCAGCAAGGAGAAGUGCCAAGCAAAAGGAGAAAAAGCCCCUUAUAAAACCAUCAGAUUUAGUGAGAACUCAUUAUCAUGAGAACAGCAUGAGGGUAACUGACCCCCAUGAUUAAAUUACCUCCCACAGGGUCCCUCCUGAGACAUGGGGGUUGUCAGAACUACAGUUCAAGAUGAGAUUUGGGUGGGGACACAGCCAAACCAUAUCAGACCAAACAUGAAAGUCUAAGAAGCUUUGACUUUUAAGACAACAUUAGGAAGUGCUUGAAGGGUUGUAAACAGUGGCACCACAAAAAAAAAAAAAAAAAAAAAAAAAAAAAAAUGUGUUUUUAAGAUAACUUCAGAGGCUACAGUACAGAGUAUACAUUUAAAUACAAUCAAUAGAUUAAAAUGAAAUAAACAGGGAUAUGGUUCGAGAACAUGCAUAGUAAUCACAAUGAGAAACAUUACAGUGACUUCAACUAAGUAGAGCAAGAAAAACACUAAUAUACAGCUACUGCAAGUGCAAGUGAAUGCAGUAAAUUUGGAAAAGAGUGUGGCAGUAUCUAGUUGAAGAUACACUUUUCUUACCAGCAAUUCUGUAAUCACUUGAUAGGUUCUUCUUGUCUGCCACGCAGAAAAGCCAAUGCAGUGAGAACAGCAGGUUUUGCAGCAAAGAAAGAGUUUAAUAAUUGCAGGGCCAGCCAAGUGGAAGGAUGAAAGAUAAUGCUCAAAUCCACCUCCCUGAGAAUUUGGAGGCCAGAGUUUUUCAAGGAUAGUUUGGUGGACAGCGGGUAGGGACUGGGGAAUGCUAAUUUGUUGGGUAAGGGAUGAAAUCAUAAAGGGUCAAAGCUGUCUUCUUGCACUGAGUCAGUUCCUGGAUCAGGGGUUCAUGAGACCAGCUGAGCCAGUUUUUUUUGUUGUUUGCUUUUUGUUUUUUUGUUUUUUUGAGACGGAGUCUCACUCUGUCACCCAGGCAAUGGUGUGAUCUCGGCUCACUGCAACCUCCACCUCCUGGGUUCAAGCGAUUCUCCUGCCUCAGCCUCCUGAGUAGCUGGGAUUACAGACGCGCACCACCAUGCCUGGCUAAUUUUUAUGUUUUUAGUAGAGAUGGGGUUUCCCCAUGUUGGUCAGGCUGGCGGCUUUUUGUUUGUUUGUUUGUUUGUUUCUUAAUGGGUUACCUGUCCAGGUGACAUCAGCUGGUCCAUCAAAAUACAGGGUCUAAAAAAUACAUCAAGCACCAAUCUUAGGCUUUACAGUAGUGAUGUUAUCUAUAGGAGCAACUGAGGAGGCUACAAUCUUGUGACUUCCAGCUACAUUAUUCCUGAACCAUAAUUUUAACCUUAUGCCUAAUUUGUUGGUUUUACAAAGGUAGUUUCAGUCCCUUAGCAGGGAGGGGUUACUUUUGGGAAGCAGCUAUUAUCAUCUUUGUUUUAAAAUUAAACUAUGAAUUCCUCCAUAGUUAGCUUGGCCUAUGCCCAGGAAUGAACAAGGACAGUUUGUGAAGUUAGAAGCAAGAUAGUCAGCUAUGUUAGAUUUUUCUCACUCAUAAUUUUUGCAAAGAUGGUUUCAAUUCCACUCAUUUUUGCAUAGAAAAUGCAUGCUUAUGUGUACCAGGAUACACAUUCAGGAAUGUUUAGAGUGGCAUCAUUUGUAAUAACUGAAGGAUAGAUAUAAUGUAAUAGCUAUCAAUGGCAAUAUGGUUAUACAAACUGUGAUGUGUUCAUACGUGGAAGUCUGUAUUGCAAUGAACAGUAUCAGGCAAGUGGUCAUCCAACAACAUAGAUGGAAUUUAAAAACAUAAUGAAAAGUUGAUAUCAAAGAAGCCAGAUCUAAUAAUAUCGUAAAUGAUUCCAUGUGUAUAAAUAUUGAAAACAUACAUGUAUACAUGCAUGCAUGUAUACAUACAUACACUCAGAAGAGUUUGGAAAAGGAAGACUUGCUGAGUCUUCUGGCCUCCAUCUUUCUCCCAUGCUGGAUGCUCCCUGCCCUCAAACAUUGGACUCCAAGUUCUUCGGCUUUUGGACUCUUGACACCAGUGGUUUGCCAGGGGCUCUUGAGCCUUUGGCCACAGACUAAAGGCUGCACUGUCAGCUUCCCUACUUUUGAGGUUUUGGGACUCGGACUGGCUUCCCUGCUCUUCAGCUUGCAGACAGCCUAUUGUGGGACUUCAACUUCCGAUUGUGUGAGUCAAUACUUCUUAAUGAGCUCUGCUUCAUAUACACAUCUAUCCUGUUAGUUCUGUCCUUCUAGAGAACCCUGACUAAUACAGAUCUAGGUGUACAUACAAACAGAUUUUGUGUACAUACAUACAUGUAUACACACAUACACGUAUACAACAUACAUCCCUACACAUGCCUGUGUGCACACAUACAUGUACACGUGCAUGCAAGAAUACACGUGUCCAUACAUACGUGUGCACAUCCACAUACAUGCCUACACGCAUGUGUGCACACAUGUGCACACACGUAUGCAAAUACAUGCAUGCACACACAUAAAUAACGUGUGCAUACAUGCAUGUACAUACAUGCACACACGUGCACAUAUGUGCAUACACACAUAAUGCAUGUACAAUAUAUACAUACAUGUAGGCACACAUGAGCACAAUGUAUACAUGUACACGUGCAUACAUGUGCAUACACGUGCACACAAACGUACAUGUGUAUACACGUGUAUACACACAUGCAUACACACAUGUACACGUGUAAACAAAUGCAUGCAAACAUGCAUGUGCACAUUUAUGCAUACACGAAUACCUACACACAAAACACACAAACAUACAAACAUUCUGUGUACACACAUACCUGGAUACACAUGCAUGCACACACACACAUGCAUCCAUGCCUGCAGGCAUGCAUGUGCAGACAUAUGUGUACACAAAUGCAUACCCGCAGAUGCAUGUACACAUGGGUACACACACAUACAUAUAGUUAUACACAUAUGUAGAUGCAUGUGCACACAGGUGUACAUACAUGUAUACAUACACGUGUGUGUUCACAUGUACAUGCAUGUAUGUAUGUACGUAUGCAUGUGCAGAUACACGUGUACAAACACAUGUACACAUGUAUAGUGCACAUAUGCACGCACUUGUACACACAUUUAGGCAUACACAUGCAUAUGUAGAUGCAUGUGUACAUGCAUGUAUACAUCUACACAUGCACAGACACAUACAUGUACACAUGCAUACUGUGUACAUAAUACAUGUAUACAGAUACAUGUGUGCAUGCACGUGUACACACAUGCAUGCAUACACACAUGCAUUUGUAGAUAUAUGUGUAGGUGUGUACACACAACAUACACAUAUGCAUCCACACAUACACAUAUACACAUGAGGUGGCACGUUCAGCUUUCAAGAGGACCAUCAGGGACUUUGUCACCUUGACAACUUUAGCCUUGCCUUCUAGUCACCUUGCCGGAACACUUGUGCCCGUGUUUUUCUAGCACUGUCAUAAGAAUACUUUUACCUAUCAAGGCAACUGGGGGUUAGGAGAGCUUUUUGCACAGGAGGCUACUUGGCUUUGUUUGAAAACUGAUGAUACAUGAGGAUUGGGGUGGUGAAUCACUCACAUGUUUCUUCAUAUGAAAAAUGAGGACUGUGGGAUUCUCUGGCUGGAUCUCAGCACCUAGAAAUGGAUCUGGGCAAUAGGAACUGCUCAGUAUUAGCUACCGCUUUGGUUGCCUUCUCCUUGCGGAAAGCUGGCCUCUCACACUGAAUUUGUAUCAUAGGCACUCAUGAGGGUCUUGACUGUAUCAAUAUCUGAUGAGAGAUUUUAGUGCAGUUCUGUUAUCGUGGCUGAUUUGCUCAUUUGGUAGCUAGCAUCCAGCUUCUUGUGAACAUUAAAAUAAAAUAAAAUAGAUUAUGGAGGAAUAGAAUACAGAUACGUAGUAAGGUAUUAUUUUCCAGACAAAAUGGAUUUGGAUAAAAGAAUCUAAUUAAGAACUUGUGCAUGAUUCUUUUAAAAUUCUUUUGAAUCCAUUUUUUUUUUUUUGGCCUGUUUUCAAGUCUCCGAUUUUUGUCACCCUUCUCACACCAGGUCAGAGAGAUAGCUAAUGGUCAGAAGGAAUCUUCCAGCAAUGACCAUAGCGCUUUCUCCUGCCUGCAGAUGCCUCUUUUUAUUCAGCCUUUAUGGGAAGUAGCAGCACCAUCCAGUUCUCAGAGAGCAAGCUCUGGAGUAACUGAGCUAACCCCAGUUACCCCAGUGGAUUUACAGAUUGAGGUUACAACCCAGCAGGGUUCUCUUCCUGGAAAGAAUAGCCUUCCCUCUAAGGUUUCAAAUAGACCCUGGGUGAGGAAGGAGCCCUAAACAGCUUGAAAAAUUGAAUGCUCUUUGGGCAAAGCAGGAAGCCGUCCUAUGGAAGAGCAUCAUUUGAGCAUAAAUCAGGUUAUCAGGACAAACAGAGUGUUCAGGAGGUCAAGAUGGUUAAGCAGAGACCCUGACCAGAAUGUCCGUGGCGGAGAGAAACAAUCUUGUUGGGAAAAGGAUGACAAUAAUUGGGGACUUAGAAUAAAGGCUAAAAAUGAUUCAAAGAGAAUGCAAAAAGAAUCAGGCACAAAUCGUUUACUAUACUCUGUUAUGCAAAUCUCACCUUACUAUGUGUUUGUAUUCUAUUCCUCCACAAUCUUUAUUUUAUUUUAAUGUUCAAAGAGACUUGUAGGUGCCAAUUAAAUGAACAAAACAGCCAGAGACAACAGAACUGCCCUAAAAAAAGUCCCGCAUCAGCUCUUGAGAGCAGGUUCCUUAAAGGUGAACAAUAUUCCACAUACAAGGACUUUUUCAGCACCAUGCAUUAGAAAUGGAAGUGAAUGUUUAUUAUUUUUUGUAUAAGUUGGUUGAUAUGGCUUUUCAGCUUCCCUCAGUAUCAUUAUCCAAAUUUUGUAGAUGACACUAAAGCUCAGAGGAGUUAAACCAUUUUCCUUAAAUCACAUAGCUUUAAAUAGGAAAACCAGAUAUGAAAAGCAGAUUUUUUUUCUAAAUUAAAAAACCAAAAACAAAAACACGUGAGCUCUUGCUUUACCCUAGCACAUAGUCUUGCCAUCUGUUUUCUCCACACCAGGUGAUUCCUGUAACAUUCAUUCACAUAACAAAUACAAAUAAAUGAGUGGAUUCAUUCAUCAGAUAUUAAUUCAGAAUCCCUUUUGUGCCUUCCAGAAAUCUGGACCAUCUCACAACCCCCAGAGAGUCUCAGCUACAAGGAACAAGUGAUAAUGCCAUCCCACUUUUAUAAACACACACACACACACAUGCAAUACACACACAAUCAUUUAAUCAUUUUUAAUUAUUUAAUUAUUUUUUAAAAAUCAGUGACACUUUAGCUGGGCAGGUCUAGAUAGGUCUUCUUUGCUGGGACGUGUCUUUUUCUGUCCUGGAAUACCCUAAACUUCACAUUUUGGCAGCGUGAGUUUUCCCUUUGUGACUUUCUCCUUCUUCCCUUUUUUCCUCCUUCUUUGCAGAGAAUGAGUAGCCACUGCACCUUGCCCUGCGCCAUCAAUGAGAAGAUCUGCUCUUAGUAGAGCCCUGCUUUCCCGCUGAAGGCCCUGAAAUCACCUGUGUUCCAGGCCACCCACUAAGGAUAAACAAAGCUUCCCUGAUAUGGGGAAUUAGCUCAAGUGGUAGAGCGCUUGCUUAGCAUGCAAGAGGUAGUGGGAUCAAUGCCCACAUUCUCCAAGCUUUAUUAUUUAGGUACCCAAACCCGAGUCAGUGUCUGAGAGCAAGACACUGCUCUCGGUGUCUUUGGUUCAAGACAUAGGAGCAGCAACAAUACAGGACUGGUGACAGCUUCCUGCUGGCAUUCAGUAUAGUGUAGAUCUACUGUGUAAUUAAUUUUCUGUUUCUUCGAGGAGCUGUGAAACCAAAGGACAUAUAAAACUGCUCUUUUCUCCCUGUUUCUGCCUGCAGCUUGGUCCUAAAUGUGAGACAAUUGUGAAAAGUGGAGGACAGAGCCACCUGGUUAAAUACAGCCCCAGCUUUCUGGUGAGAGGACUGAAACCAAGAUGUGUCAAGUAACUAGAAUGUGCCUGGACAGAUACUGUAGAAAGCAAAACCAUAAAGUUGUUCAUGAGCUUGUGGACGCACCUGCCAGCUGUGAAUAAGUGGCUCUAAUCCCGAACAACUUACCUAAAAAGAGCCUGAGAGCUGAACUGUGCAAUGGCCCACUUUCCAGUCCUCACUGACCACUGGGUUGCACACACUUUGGAGAUCUCUGAACAGCAGUGUCAAGGCUUUCAAAUAGAGUUAUCUUUGAAACGACAACACAUGAAAGUCUGGUUGGUACUUGGAGCUUAAAUACAAGGCAAUUGUGUGCCUGCAAAAACAAAAAUAGCAAUAUUAUCCUUAAGAUUUCAACAAGACACAGUGUCUCAUCACAUAAUCCAAAGAAGUCCAGGUUACAAGCCCCACAAUAUUCAGCAUUAUGAAAAAACAGGGAGAUCUUAAUUCACAUGGCAAAGAGAAUCCUCGAAUAACAAUAUUGAGAGGACACAGAUGUCAAAAUCAUCUGACACAUACAUUAAAGCAGAUAUUAUAACAAUGCUCCUAGAAUCGGGGAUAACAUUCGUGAAGUGAAUGGAAAGUUGGAAAGUCUCACCAAAUAUUUCGAAUACAUAAACACCAAUUUAAACUUAAGAAUUAAAAAAAUGUAUUAACCAAAACUCUUAGGGGAAAUAAAAAGCUUAAUUGGAGGAUCUCCAUAAUCGAAUGCAGAAGACUAAGGAAAAAGUCAAUGAACUUGAAAACAGAACACGAAUACCUACAUAAUCUGAACUAUAGAGAGAAAGGAGGAUUUUAUUGUCUCUGAACAGAGGCUCAGGCACAAAUAAAAAAUAACAAAUCCAACAUUCACAUUAUUGUAAUCUGGAAAGAAGAGGACAAAGUGGUCUUUGUGGGAUAAAACUUUGAACAAUUAAUAGCUGAAAAUGGUUCAAAUUUGUCAAAAGAUAUAAACCAGAUUUUUAAAGUUCAGUAAAUGUCAAUCAGGAUAAACCCAAAGAAACCCAUAGCAAGGCAUAUCAUAAUCAAACUGCUGAAAACUAAGAAAAUACAAAACAAUUUUGAAAGCAGCCAAAGGGAAAUGAAAGAGAAACUACCAAAUGAAUGAUUGUAGAUUUCGCAUCAGGAACCAUAGGGGCCAGAAAAAAUGUCAUAACAUUCGGUAAGUAACAAAAGAAAAAGACAUAUCGACCCAGAAUGCUAUGUGGAGCAAAAGUAUCUUCCAGACAUAAAGGCAAAUAAAUGCAUUCUCAGUGGAAGGUAAGUAAAUACAUUCUCAUUCUUAGGAAGACUGCUGGAAAAGAAUUAGCAAAGAUUUGAGAUAAGAAAAAUGAUACCAGAAGGAAACUUAGAACAUCAUCAGUGAAGGAACAAAAGCAGAAAUAGAACAUGUCUGGGUAGACAUAACAGACUAUUAUUCUUCCCUUGAGUUCCUUAAGGAGACUACGGAAAAGAAGAGUGACUAAGAUCUCUGAAGAAGGGAAAAGCUAGAUGACUGGGCCACAAGAGAAAAAAAGCAGCAAGACAGAGAUUUGUUGGUGCCAACUAAAUGAGCCCAACAGCCAGUGACAACAGAACUGCACUAAAAAAAGUCCCUCAUCAGCUCUUGAGAGCAGGUUCCUUAAAGGUGAACAAUAUUCCACAUACAAGGACUUUUUCAGCACCAUGCAUUAGAAAUGGAAGUGAAUGUUUAUUAUUUUUUGUAUAAGUUGGUUGAUACGGCUUUUCAGCUUCCCUCAGUAUCAUUAUCCAAAUUUUGUAGAUGACACUAAAGCUCAGAGGAGUUAAACCAUUUUCCUCAAAUCACAUAGCUUUAAAUAGGAAAACCAGAUAUGAAAAGCAGAUUUUUUUCUAAAUUAAAAAAAAAAAAAAAACUUGAGCUCUUGCUUUACCCUAGCACAUAGUCUCACCAUCUGUUUUCUCCAUGCCAGGUCAUUCAUGUAACAUUCAUUCACAUAACAAAUACAAAUAAAUGAGUGGAUUCAUUCAUCAGCUAUUAAUUCAGAAUCUCUUUUGUGUCUACCACACUAGGCUCAAGACUUCCCAGUGUCUUUGUCUCCUCUCCCUCAAAUCUCUCCACCCAAUGUCUUGACAAAUACUGUAGAUCCUUCCUGCACAGCAUCACCAGAAUGUUUUUCUUUCUUUUCAUUCACCUCUGUCAUCAUCCAUGCUAUGGUGUUUAUGGAGGAUGUAUUCUGCAGCAGGAAGUGUGAUGGGCACUGACGCUGCAGAAAGACUCCUGUUGUCCACCUCGGGAGCUGACACGAUAAAUGCGGGUAAAUCUCAAUCCUUUAAUAUCUUUAUGACUUCUUUCUCUUUCUCUUCAAUUUCUAUUUUCUCAUGUUCAAGCUCUGACAUUCAAAACUAAACACCUUUCUCUAACAUGUUGCUUUAAUUAUUUAAGCAUUCUGCCUGGGAUUUUUUCAAUUACUCUUGGGAGUUUUCAUAAAACUCUACCAACAUAUCUCCAAGUGGCCAGGCUUUUCAAUCACUGCUUCCCUCCGUGUGUAUUUCACACACACACACACACACACACACACACACACAGCACUUAAAUUGAACAGGUUUAUUUCUUCACACAGGAAUUCCUACGAACAGCCCGGUUUUCUCCACCAUAUGUCCACUCCUUCUCUGCAUAGCUGAAUUUUGAUUCUUACACUCUAAUAUUUUACAUAUUCUUACACUCUGAUAUGAUCUUGUCUCUUAUUCUUUAUGGCUCUGCUCUGUAAUUUUGUUGUUGUUGUUCUGAGAUAUAGUUGGACAUGUAACUUGUACAUGACACACCUUAGCAAGGAGGCAACCUAUAUCUCAGAUGCAAGUGAAAGAAGCACUCCCCAGGGGUUUCCUAAGGUAGUGGUCAGCACGCUGGCUUCAUUCCUGAAAGGGCCUAGUUAUGAAAACAACAGGAGCUUUUUGCCUUCCAGAAAUCUGUACCAUCUCAAAAUCCCCAGAGAGUCUCAGCUACAAGGAACAAGUGAUAAUACUAUCUCACUUUUAUAAACACACACACACAACACACACACACAAAAUCAUUUAAUCAUUUUUAAUUAUUUAAUCAUUUUUUAAAAAUCAGUGACACUUUAGAUGGGCAGGUCUAGGCAGGGCCUCCUUUCCUGGAAUGUGCCUUUUUCUGUCCCGGAAUACCCUAAACUUGACAUUUUGGCAGUGUGAGUUUUCCCUUUUUGACUUUCUCCUUGUUCCCUUUCCUCUUCCUUCUUUGCAGAGAAUGAGUAGCCACUGCACCUUGCCCUGGGCCAUCAGUGAGAAGAUCUGCUCUUAGUAGAGCCCUGCUUUCCCGCUGAAGGCCCUGAAAUCCCCUGUGUUCCAGGCCACCCACUAAGGAUCAAUAAAGCUCCCCUGAUGUGGGGGAAUUAGCUCAAGUGGUAGAGCGCUUGCUUAGCAUGCAAGAGGUAGUGGGAUCGAUGCCCACAUUCUCCAAACUUUAUUAUUUAGACCCUGGGUCUCCAAACACUCAGGUCUCCAAACCCAAGUCAGAGAACAGGAUGCUGCUUUGGUUCAAGAUGUAGGAGCAGCAACAAUACAGGGCUGGUGACGGCUCCCUCCUGGCAUUCAGUAUAGUGUAGAUCUACCGUGUAAUUAAUUUUCUGCUUCUUUGAGGAGCUGUGAAACCAAGGGACAUAAACAAUUGCUCUUUUCUCCCUGUUUCUGCCUGUAGCUUGAAUGUGAGGCAACUGUGAAAAGUGCAGGGCAGAGCCACCUGGGUAAAUACAGCCCUGGCUUUCUGGUGAGAGGACUGAAACCAGGAUGUGUCAAGUAACUAGAAUGUGCCUGGACAGAUACUGUAGAAAGCAAACCCAUAAAGUUGUUCAUGAGCUUGUGGACGCACCUGCCAGCUGUGAAUAAGUGGGUCUAAUCCCAAACAACUUACCUAAAAAGAGCCUGAGGACUGAACUAAACAAUGGUCCGCUUUCCAGUCCUCACUGACCACUGGUUGCACACACUCCAGAGAUCUCUCAUCCGCAGUGUCAAGGCUUUCAAAUAGAGUUAUCUGUGAAACAACAACACAUGGAAGUCUGGUUGGUACUUGGAGCUUAAAUACAAGGCAAUUGUGUGCCUGCAAAAACAAAAAGAGCAAUAUUAUCCUUAAGAUUUCAACAAGACACAGUGUCUCAUCACAUAAUCCAAAGAAGUCCAGGUUACAAGCCCCAAAAUAUUCAGCAUUAUGAAAAACCAGGGAGAUCUUAAUUCACAUGGCAAAGAGAAUCCUUGCAUAACAAUAUUGAGAGGACACAUAUGUCAAAAUCAUCUGACACAUACAUUAAAGCAGUUAUUAUAACAAUGCUCCUAGAAUUACGGGAUAGCAUUCAUGAAGUGAAUGGAAAGUUGGAAAGUCUCACCAAAUAUUUGGAAUAUGUAAACACCAAUUUAAACUUAAGAAUUAAAAAAAGUAUUAACCAAAACUAUUAGGGGAAAUAAAAAGCUUAAUUGGAUGAUCUCAAUAGCAGUAUGCAGAAGACUAAGGAAAAAGUCAAUGAACUUGAAAACGGAACAAGAAUACCUACAGAAUCUGACCUAUAGAAAGAAAGGAGGAUUUUAUUGUCCCUGAACAGAGGCUCAGGGACAAAUAAAAAAUAACAAAUCUAACAUUCACAUUAUUGUAAUCUGGAAACAUUCACAUUAUUGUAAGAGGACAAAGAGGUCUUUGUGGGAUAAAACUGUGAAGAAUUAAUGGCUGAAAAUGUAUCAAAUUUCUCAAAAGAUAUAAACCAGAUUUUUAAAGUUCAGUAAAUGUCAAGCAGGAUAAACCAAAAGAAACCCAUUGCAAGACAUAUCAUAAUCAAACUGCGGAAAAUUAAGAAAACACAAAACAAUUUUGAAAGCAGCCAAAGGGAAAUGAAAGAUAAAAUACCAAAUGAAUGAUUGUAGAUUUCUCAUCGGGAACCCAGGAGCCAGAAAAAAAUGUCAUAACAUUCAGUAAAUACCAAAGGAAAAAUACAUUAUCAACCCAGAAUGGUAUGUGGAGCAAAAGUAUCUUCCAGACAUAAAGGCAAAUAAAUGCAUUCUCAUUGGAAGGUAAAUAAAUACAUUCUCAGUCCUAGCAAAACUGCUGGAAAAGAAUUAGCAAAGGUUUGAGAUAAGAAAAGUGAUACCAGAAGGAAACUUAGAACAUCAUCAAUGAAGGAACAAAAGCAGAAAUAGAAAAUGUCUGGGUAGACAUAACAGACUAUUAUUCUUCUCUUGAGUUCCUUAAGACAAUGAGUAGCCACUGCUGUUUGCCCUGGCCCAUCAAUGAGAAGAUCUGCUCUUAGAGCCCUGCUUUCCUGCUGAAGGCCCUGAAAUCACCUGUGUUCCAGGCCACCUGCUAACAAUAAAUAAUGCUGCCCUGAUGUGGGGAAUUAGCUCAAGUGGUAGAGCGCUUGCUUAGCACGCAAGAGGUAGUGGGAUCGAUGCCCACAUUCUCCAAGCUUUAUUAUUUAGACAUCGUGUCUCCAAACACUCAGGUCUCCAAACCCAAGUUAGUGUCUGAGAACAGGAUGCUGCUUUGGUUCAAGACGUAGGAGCAGCAAUAAUAGAGGGCUGGUGAUGGCUCCCUCUUGGCAUUCAGUAUAGUGUAGAUCUACCAUGUAAUUAAUUCUCUGUUUCUUUGAGGAGCUGUGAAACCAAGGGACAUAUACAACUGCUCUUUUCUCCCUGUUUCUACCUGCAGCUUUGUCCUAAAUGUGAGACAAUUAUGAAAAGUGCAGCGCAGAGCCACUUGGGUAAAUACAGCCCCGGCUUUCUGCUCAGGGGACAGAGUUUGAGGCACUGCAGAGGAACCGGCCAAAGUAUGAGACCCAUAUAUUGAGAGUAACAGAGUGUAAAGUUCAAAAAAAUCAAAAUAUUUAAAGAUUUAUCAUGGGUCUUGAUGACAUGAUGGAAUCUCUCUACUCUCUGGACUUAUUAUGUGUGGUAAUAAAUUUACUUUUUAAAAGCCA